ACGGGUGAGUAACGCGUGGUCAACCUACCGUUGAGUGGGGGGAUAACUAGCCGAAAGGUUAGCUAAUACCGCAUACGUCUCCGAGGGGCAUCCCUUGGCGAUAAAAGGAGCAAUCCGCUCGAUGACGGGACCGCGUCCCAUUAGCUAGAUGGUGGGGUAACGGCCUACCAUGGCACCGAUGGGUAGCUGGUUUGAGAGAGCGACCAGCCACACUGGGACUGAGAAACGGCCCAG
rnacentral:rRNA from 1 species